UUUCAAAAAAAUCGUCCAAGUUAUUUCUGAAGAAUUACCUUGACUGUUUAUAUACGUAACGGCUCAUGUAUAGUUGCUCAUAUUUUCAUUCUUAGCUGGUUAUACACCUGAUGCUUACACCAGUCUAACCAACUUAUACAGUCUAUGUUAAGCUGUUUUUACACCUUAGCUGUGCUUUCACCCAAUACUUCCACGGUUAGCUUACUCUGAAAUUCCUGUAUUUGAGUACUUAUACUGACUUUAAUCCACUGCUUCAAACUAUGACUUAUUAUGCUUCCUGUUAGCUGUGAUUUUCUUGGGGCGCUAUGCAGGCAUGCUUAUCUUGCGUCGUGCUUUUAAGACGCAAUAUUUAGGCAAGGAUACACGAAGUCUGUCAGAAAAAAGACCGUUGAAUAUGUGAAAUUAUAUCGCACAUUGCGAACAAUUCCACACCUGCAAUGAUAUGUCAAUGACUUGUGACUUGAGGACAUGAAAUUUAAAAUGUCCGGAGAUAAAUUAAUGUUUUCAAAGGUAAUUUAUGCGCCGGAUGAGCGUUUCCUGUAGAUAAUAAUGGAUCACUUUUAUCGCUCACCCAAUUUAAGUUGAUUCUUUUUUUCCCUCCGGCACUAGAGGCUAGUAAACCUCACUGCCUGUCUCCAAUCAGCUUAUAUUGAUAUUAUCUUAUGGAAGUUCACAUUAAUCAGUCUUCGAACACCAAUCAAUCAAGUUCCUUAAAUCAUUUACCGCCAAUAAAUUGUUUCUUAGAAAUAAUCCUCAAUAUCCUUUGACCUUUCCUGAAUAAAAUGGAAGGUCCGUGUUGAUAUUCCUAAGAGAAACGUGACUCAUUGCAGUUAAUUGAGGACGGUAAAGGGGCUCAAGAUCACGUUUCACGGAAAAUAAAUUGGUCCUUUCACAAUUCAUGGGAAAUAAAAUCGGCAUUUCACGUUUCCCGAAAAAAAGGCAUAUUUUGACGCGAACUAACGUAACUUACGAUAUUUGAAAGUUGCACCCAAGCACCGCCUUGUUAGAUGUCUUUAUCAUUCGUCCGCUUCUUGUUCUGCGCGCAGCAAAAAGAAAUCCGAGCAAGAACCCGAAGGGGGAUGAUUGUCCUGUCAGACACAGCCAGAAUCAUGGUUCACGAGGAAUUUAAUACUUCUUUUUCAUUUCACGGAGAAUUAUUUUGGAAAAUCACGGUUCACGGCUUCUAAUGAAAUCACAAUUCAUGAGGAAAAAAACAAGCCAUUUCACAUUUCACGAGAAAAAAAUUAGGCCAUUCACGGAUCACGAAAAUACCCUUUACCAACCUCUUUAUUUGCAGUGUUCGUAAAAUGACUUAAUUUUUAGAGGCUACAAAUCUAGCGACUUGUUUUCAACAGGACUUGGUGUUUACUUGAGUUUCUUUCAGUUAUUCGAUCUCUGUGUCCUUUGCUGGGUAAAGUUUUACUUAUUUUAUACAAAUUUCUGUUUUAAAUCCUUAAACAUGAGCUUUAGACGUAUGCGAGACUCGGCACACCGUGAGUUGGCCCGGGAUAGCGAGCCAAAGUGUUUCAGUAUGAGAAAAAAGUUGUCUCGCCUGCUUGGGCUAAUCUACCUGCUGAGGCUAGACAACUCGUGAAGCCCAGUUGUCUUGCUCCUAAGGACUCGUGAUCUUCAUUUUAAAGGUUGGCUGAAUUUUUCCAAGAAAUAAGUAAAACAUAAGCUUGAUGAGAGCAACUCAGGUGAGGGUUGUCACGGCUACCCAAGACCAUAUAAACAGGCCUAAACGAGUAAAUUGUUUAAAGAACUAUGAAUAGCGUUAAAGCUUGAAAGUUUAAAAACAGUGAGACGCCAUUAACGAUGCAACGCGUCGGAGGCCUCAUUGUCCCCGCGCUUACCGUUCCAUUAAAGACGAUCUAAUUUUAUGAGCAACCUCAAAAGCUACUGAACAAAACCGUCUAUAAAAGGAAUUAGAACUUAGAUAUUUUAAACCCAGCAUGCAAACAGUGACAAAAAUAAAACGUGUUAUCUUGCUAAACAGAGAAAUAUUUGACCAAUGUCAAUCGAAAAAGCACUGAUACCCAAGCUAGGCAGAGUAUCUGAGUUGUCAGUUAUCAAAGUCUCUGAAUGGGUUUGACAGAGCGAACACUCGACUGAAUACGUUGGGUCAUACCUUAAAGGAAAUCAAAUAGGUGAUUUGCCUUAAAUUAGUAUUUUAAAAUAACGACUCGUAAAACUCAAGACAUCCUGCAAGAUAUUUUCCACGUCAAAAAUCGAGUGUUUGGACUAUCAUUGCAAUCACGCAAUUCCCCUAAAUUCGUAAGUAAAAUUGUUUGAUAGAUCAAAUUUUGUGUUCUACUGCACAAAACCAGAAUCACUUGUUUCACAUAAUUUAGCGAAUAUCAGUAAGAGUUUUUGUUUUGCCGUAUAAUAUUGAAAAUCGACAAUUUUUUACAAAUUAUUUAACAUGGUAGUGUCACACGAACGUAGAACUUCGUCUUGGAGCGUCCGUUUCAACACACAACUCAGAGAAGUGCUGGCAAGAGACGCAAAAGCUGCUAUUGAGUAUGGUGUUCCUACUACAAAUUUGUGUAUAAUUACCAAAAUACACAGAAAAUAAUAUGUAUAAUUUUACCUGAAGAUCAAAUUCUGUCAGUCGAUUGUUCUAAGAUAAUGUCAGCGUUAGUGAAAACGUCUUCUAUAUAAAGCAUAAAGUUUGUUGGAGGCUUGCCUUCUUUUUAUAGACUACAUCAAUUCAUUAUAUUUCGUCUGCUUUUGGUAUUACAAAUCCUUGUUUACAACACUGAGCGCCUUCAUACCUCGUCGCCAUUUUGGCUACUGCAAGCAUUCUUUAAUAAUGAUUAAGAUUGCCAUCAAAAUAUUGCUGCCUGCUAUUCGCUGGUAAUGCGUUUGUUUACGUCAUCGAUGCACAGCUGCUCAUCGUUACAUCUACAGUAUAUUUCAAAUUCAGAUUCGUUUAAGUGAACACAAAUAGAACACAUGGCGUUAGCAAAGAUGUCUACAUACAAGACGCACAAAUUAUUUUCCAUAUCGCAAUUAGACCGCUAAACGAGCAAGCUAUAGUCUCAAACCAUUGUGUUCUCUCCGGCAAGCUUUCACAACAGGAAAUCAUUGAAUUACAUGGGCUGACUGUUCAGCAGUGUACAAAUUAAGGAUAAUACUGAUGUUUUCAUUAAACAUAAUUUUAUUAAUUUGCAACCUGGUCACGUUUCAACUCUAACUAAAAUAAUACAAAAUAAUAUUCUAUACUGGACUGAUUUUUGAUUCUGAUUCUGCCAAACGACUUUCUGAAUCUAACUGAACCAAUGGCGGGAGCGAGGUAGAAUAUUUUUCUUUCACGACGUAUUGCAUGCGUAGCUCUAAAAGGCCUUUUAUCCUAUUAGAGUUAGGAGAGCUAAUUGAACCGAUAGAAGACGGCAAAUUUAGGCUUUUCGCAUUAAAGUGACGCACUACUUACCUAAUAAUGCAAACCAAUCUUAAUGCAUACAACACAGUCUCAUGAAUCAGCAGGCAUAUUACUGAUACUCUUUAUUCCCGCAGUGACAUCGUUUUUAAUAGUAUUCAAAAAAUGAAAUUUAUUCAACCAAGCGAUUUUCAGCGGUUUAAUUUUUAGUUCUUUUAGUGUCGCAAUCAAGGGCUAAUCUAACUUGAGUUUAAAAGUGUUGUACCAUGGAAAAUGAUUCUUCUCUUAGUAGAUUUUCUUCUAUGUCCAAGCCAGAAGCUAAAUAUCCCCAUUCAUAAAAUCCCUUGGACCUAGGGAUGGUCGGUGGAGCCGAGGGAAAGUCGAAACGACUGGAAAAAUUGAAGAAGAAAAAAAUGGAGAGGAAGCAAGGACUUCAAAAUAGGAUGAUAAGCAAGACAUUAAUGCUGUUCAAGAUAAACCUACCUGUCUUACAUCUUGGUUUGCACCAAUUAUAUUCUGGUCCAUGGCCUGAGGUGGAGUCUUGAGCCCUUCCUUGAAUGCAAUGCUCAUCGAUCAUAGCAUCCUUAAAGGUAGUGACUCCUCGUCUUCAUUUGCGAGUGCUCCCCCAUUUUCUUCUGGCUCAUCAGAUCUCUAUGAGGAGAAAAAGAAAAAUCUUAUAAGUUCCUUUCCAGAUGACUGAAUGAUAAGACACCACGUGUACAUUUUCAUGGCCACUGACUAUUGACUUGCAAAAGAUAAACAGCUGACAACCCAAUGUCAGCUUCAAAAAAUUGCUCGUGGUAGCCACAAUCUUAUCUCUUACUUACACUGUAUCACUCAUUCAGUUAUUUAUCAGAAUUUAAGCAAACCAUUAAGCAUUAAGCAUUUAAGCAAAACAUUACCAUCUCUAUAUAGCUCAGUCAAUUGUUGUGUCAGACAAAGAAUUUUGUGGUGAACUACAUGUAUAACUAUGUAAUAUUCAUUGUAGUUUUAGUAAGAUCUAGUAUCUUAUAUUAUAUUUUUUGCUCAGAGACAUUUUAGUUCAAUAGUGCACCUAACCACUCAUAUGUUUUUUGCUGAAACGAAUCCACUUGUUAUUCGAAGAAUUUGGGCGAAGAAAUGUUUGAA
rnacentral:lncRNA from 1 species